UUUCCGUAGGUGAACCUGCGGAAGGAUCAUUAUCGAAAUACUUAUUUAGCGUUCCUUGCUAUCCCAUUGUUUUAUUUACCCUGUUGCUUCCACUGGAUGAGUUUCCAUACCUUGUGUUUGAGAAACUUUGGCUUGUGUAAGAUUCAUUCACGGCCAGCCAGUGAGAAGACCAUUUACAAAACCCUGUUAAGAACCAAUUGUCUGAAUAUUUUACUCCAAUGAAAUAAAACUUUCUACAACGGAUCUCUAGGCUCUUGCAUCGAUGAAGAACGCAGC
rnacentral:misc_RNA from 1 species